rnacentral:lncRNA from 1 species
AGAAGUUUAUCCAUAUGAUCUAUCCAUCCAUCCAUCCAUCCAUCCAUCGUGCUUGACCCGAGCAGGGUCGCGGUGAUCCGGAGCCUAUCCCGGAAGCAUUGAUUGAGCGCGAGGCUGAGGUGGGGCAGCCCUGGAGGAGACGUGGUAAAAAGUUUAUUUUAUGUUAACGUCAUGGAUCUCUGUAUGUUAUUUGAGCAGGGCUCUUCGAAUUAGAAUUUACUUAAAGCGAGAAAAGUGUUGUGUUAAUGCGUAUUGCUGCCCGGGCCGUAUAGGCUGACACUGAGUCUGAGGGCCGGUUGUUGCCAUCGGAUCGGUGACGACUUUCUCACCGCCUUCGCUUCUGAACUUUAUGCUGCCUUUCUAUCCCGCCAACUUUUCAGCGACUGCGCGCGCUGCCGCUUGUCGCGCGAGCUGUGCUCAGGGUCCGCUGUCCGUGCAAGUUCUGCGCGUGAGGAGCUGGUGACGUCAUUUUGACAGGUACCCCCCCCCCCCAACUCCCCCCACACUCCCCCACACCGACAUGUCAGCGCAUGUGGGAUGGAGUUACAGCCGCAGAUGACUUUUCAUGUGGAGGGCAGUCCGGCCCUUCCCAGGUCUCCCUUUAAUGAAAGAAGCUCCGUCUUUCCCAAGCGAUAAAGGCGCGGAAAGUCCUGCGGAGAGGAGCUGCCUGCGCUGCGGCCGGUGUCCCGCACCGCGCGAGGAACAAAUACUUCUAAAGUCGCAGACGACGUCGUCGGACGUGUCACCUGCCCUCCUCCUCCUAGUCGCGGUAUUAACUUUCUUCGUCUGGAGCCAGACAGAGACACGCCGCUAUGCAGCUGCCUGCUUUGGCGCGCGCCUACGUCCUUUUCUCAGCCCUGCUGCUCGCGGGGCUGCGCGGCUCCCAGGUGAAGUUCAGUCGGCUGGACCGCUGGGCGAAGACGGGCUUCCAGUACGUGAAGAUGAACCUGUGCCGGCAGGUCUCCUCGCUGCCCGAGAGCGAGUGCAGGCGGCUGUCCCAGAGCGGCGUGGCCGUGUACGCGUCGGAGCUCCACUCCGACAAGGUGGUGGCGGUGCUGCCGGACUCGCGCUCCUCCUCCUCCGCCGCCGCCGCGGGCGCGCCGUCGUCGACCUCCAAGGUGGGCGGCUACGCGGUGGGCUUGUUGCCGGCGGAGGACGGCAGGCGGCACCGGGACGUGUUCCCCGGCCCCGCGGAGCACGACGCCGUGCUCGUGCUCGACCCGAGCCCGGGACAGAGCUUCGGACACCCGGUCGUGCUCUUCUACGUCGACUUCAAUGUGACCAAGAAGAAAUGUGGGCACAGAGACGGCAUCUUCCUGGGUGAGGAGUGCCUGACCCUGGCUCUGAAGAGCCGCUGUCAGAACCAGCUAAAGCCCCGCCAGAGCCGCAGUGCCCGCCGGGGAGCAAUGCCACGCGUGGGGACGGCAGAGCGCAACGAGGGGCUCUGCGAGAUUCACUUCCUCCCCUUGGUUGUGGGAGUGCGGGAUAGCAACCGCACACAGCGACUGCACUGCGUGGACCACCCGGACUUUGCCCACUGCCCACGGCCCCUGCCGGUGUCCAGCCCCACCGUGCCCGUCUCCAACUGCGAGCUCAACAAGAACACACGGCGCUGCCACCAGCAGCCCCUGGCAACGCACAUGUCCUGUCGGCUAUAUCAGACCUGUGACCACGCCGUGUUGCUCUCAGGUGGCUGGCAGCAGCAGAUCACAUACCAGCAGCACUGGAACAACCUGCGGAUCUUCGACAACAUGCUGAGGAACAACGGCUUUCACAAGGACCACAUAAAAACCUUCUUUGCAGGCAAAGGGCUAGUCUCGGAGGAGGAGUCAGACGGGGUGUACCCAGCCACGCAGAAAGAGGUGAUCCGGAACCACAUUUCCUACGUGUGCCGCAAGCAGCACUGCGCCGACUCGCUGGUGCUGUACCUGAACAGUCCCACGCGCAACGACGGAACCAUGCUGCUUUGGGACGGCAAUCACAACGGCAUCGCGGAUUCGACUGAGCGCUACUCGGUGAGCGAGCUGCUGGCCGACCUGGCUGGGUGUCGGGCCAGGAGGGUUCUGCUGUUUGUUGAGCAGAGCUACAACGCAGCUUUGGGAAAGAGGCUCAAGGGGUCUCUCAAACACCUCAACGUAGUAUUGCUCAGCGGUACCACCCGGGCAGACACGGCUGAGUUCUGGGGAUCCCUGCACCCUGCUCGUUGUCUCAUAGACCACCUGAGUCAGUCCUCAGCAAUGUCUUCAGGCCACCUGGCAGGGCUCCUGAACGUAACCCUUGCCGGCGCACCCUGCAACGCCACCCCUCCACUCACAGAAGCAGAGAUGCGCAAGGAAUACAUGGGCUGCCAGAACCUGCCCACGGCACUCUGGUACCAGAGCCACCACCAGCCUGAAGAGAAGAGGAAGUGAGGGCUCCCGUGAUGCGCUGUAACCAUCUCCUGUUCUGUACACGUCCCUGUCGCUGGCUCACAAUGGACAGUGGCUGCAAGUCACAAGCUGAACUCCAGUCCCAGUAACCGAGGAAGCCCCAUUCUCCACUUGCAACCUGCUGUCCUCCGCAAGUAAAUAGACAUUGUAACCGUGAUUAUUAGCACAGCUUAAAGUGUAAAUGCCAAAUGUUGCAAAGCAGGAAGUCUACACUCUAACUGCCAACAGCCACCACUAAAUGCACCUCGGGGCACCUUGACUCCCCUGUUGUCCGGUUCGUAGUAUUUUUGGUUGUAUCUCUGCAUGUACUGAGAGCCACGAGCGUGGAGAGGACUUAGGGGAGAAAACACAGGCUCAGAUCUGUGCUGUAGCAGGAGGGGGAGGGCGCCUCCGAUGUCCCCUCUCUGAACCUUGGCACAUAAACUUACUCCUGCCCGCAAUAGUACUACCAGUACGGAGUGUCCCGUUGGAGCGCGGCGGUGGAGACAGGGGGGUUCAGGCGGGGGACAGCAAUGCCUCCCAUCCAGCAUGCUCCCGCUUGGGUCGCUGAGCAUGCAUGCGGGAAGAAGCAGCACCUCCCGCCCAUCUGCCCCUGUCCCAGAAUGCCCUGGCGCCUUGCUGAGCGACUGAUGACUCGCCCAUGAUUUAAACAUGAGGAUGGGUUCCUGCCCUGGCACAUGCGCCAACACCCCCUCCCCCUCUCCCCCUCCCCGCCCUCCCCUUCAGAUACGAAGGUGCCUCUGCCAUGGCGACAGUCUGCUAGACAGUCCCUCACACCACAGAAACACCAAGCCUGCAGCACAGAGGACCAGAGCACCUGUAAUACUGCUGUACACAGGCAGCACCUGGGAGCUUUGGAGAAACCACCACCUUCAGGCACUCAAGUGGGCCACGGGUGCAUGUGUUUACACACAUACACGCAAGCACACACGCACAAACAGGUGCUAUGUUGUACAGUUGCUGCCGAUGUUGUGCUAAGACAUCUGGGAUAUGAACACAGGAGUUACAGGCCUUGAGAUUUCCAUGAUCUAAAAGUGCGGACCACGUGUCCGUUCCACACCACAUCUUACCAGCCACCUGCUAACCAAAUACGCUCAGACCAAUCAUUGUGGAACGCAAAAAGAACCGUGAAGGAAGCCAUGAAUGUCAAAAAGCAUGUAUUGUGCGUAUGUGCUCGCCAUGUUACCUUUGAGCAAUUUAAUGUCAUAUUUUUCUUCCAAGAGAAUUCAAAAUAAUCUCCUCCAUUUGUGCAUUUUAAACCAUAGAUUAUGUAAGCAGCUGUACAUAUUUGUAAUAAAUUAACUUUUGUA